rnacentral:rRNA from 1 species
UACGUAGGCAGCAAGCGUUGUUCGGAAUUACUGGGCGUAAAGCGUGCGCAGGCGGCUUUGCAAGACAGAUGUGAAAUCCCCGGGCUUAACCUGGGAACUGCAUUUGUGACUGCAUGGCUGGAGUGCGGCAGAGGGGGAUGGAAUUCCGCGUGUAGCAGUGAAAUGCGUAGAUAUGCGGAGGAACACCGAUGGCGAAGGCAAUCCCCUGGGCCUGCACUGACGCUCAUGCACGAAAGCGUGGGGAGCAAACAGG